AGCAGCCGCGGUAAUUCCAGCUCCAAUAGCGUAUAUUAAAGUUGUUGCAGUUAAAAAGCUCGUAGUUGAAUUUCGGGACCAAUUUGUUGGUCGUGCCUCGGUACGUACUGGUAUUAUUGGUUUCUCCCUUCUGAAGAACCUUGAUGUCAUUAAUUUGGUGUCUUGGGGAAUCAGGACUGUUACUUUGAAAAAAUUAGAGUGUUUAAAGCAAGCAUACGCUUGAAUACAUUAGCAUGGAAUAAUGAAAUAGGACGUUUGAUUCUAUUUUGUUGGUUUCUAGGAUCGACGUAAUGAUUAAUAGGGAUAGUUGGGGGCAUUAGUAUUCAAUUGUCAGAGGUGAAAUUCUUGGAUUUAUUGAAGACUAACUACUGCGAAAGCAUUUGCCAAGGAUGUUUUCAUUAAUCAAGAACGAAAGUUGGGGGAUCGAAGACGAUCAGAUACCGUCGUAGUCUUAACCAUAAACUAUGCCGACUAGGGAUCGGAUGAUGUUAAUUUUUAAUGACUCAUUCGGCGCCUUACG
rnacentral:rRNA from 1 species